rnacentral:tRNA from 1 species
AAAUAAGAUGCCUGAAAAAAGGGCUAUUUUGAUAGAAUAGAUCAUGUAUGUUGUACUCUUAUU